CCUACGGGAGGCAGCAGUAGGGAAUCUUUCACAAUGGGCGAAAGCCUGAUGCAGCAACGCCGCGUGCAGGAUGACGGUCUUCGGGUUGUAAACUGCUUUUAUAAGCGAGAAAUAUGAUGGUAACUUAUGAAUCAGGAUCGGCUAACUACGUGCCAGCAGCCGCGGUCAUACGUAGGAUCCGAGCAUUAUCCGGAGUGACUGGGUGUAAAGAGUUGCGUAGGUGGGAUAGUAAGUAGCGAGUGAAAUCUGGUGGCUCAACCAUUCAGACUAUUGGCUAAACUGUUAAGCUCGAGACCGUUAGAGGUAACUGGAAUUGCUAGUGUAGGGGUGAAAUGCGUAGAUAUUAGAAGGAACACCAAUAGCGUAGGCAGGUUGCUGGGACGUUUCUGACGCUGAGGCACGAAAGCGUAGGGAGCAAACGGGAUUAGAUACCCUGGUAGUC
rnacentral:rRNA from 1 species